UACUGAAGGUGCAAGCGUUAAUCGGAAUCACUGGGCGUAAAGCGCUCGUAGGUGGCUUUGUAAGUCAGAUGUGAAAGCCCACGGCUCAACCGUGGAAUUGCAUUUGAUACUGCAUCGCUAGAGUAUAGGAGAGGGAAGUGGAAUUUCUGGUGUAGGAGUGAAAUCCGUAGAGAUCAGAAGGAACACCGGUGGCGAAGGCGACUUCCUGGACUAUUACUGACACUGAGGAGCGAAAGCGUGGGGAGCAAAC
rnacentral:rRNA from 1 species